UUGCAAUGAUGCUUUUAUUUUUCGUCAACAGCAACCCACCUCAGUGGAUGUUGAUAUAUAUAUCCUGAGCAG